rnacentral:rRNA from 1 species
UUAAGCGACUAAGCGUACACGGUGGAUGCCCUGGCAGUCAGAGGCGAUGAAGGACGUGCUAAUCUGCGAUAAGCGUCGGUAAGGUGAUAUGAACCGUUAUAACCGGCGAUUUCCGAAUGGGGAAACCCAGUGUGAUUCGUCACACUAUCAUUAACUGAAUCCAUAGGUUAAUGAGGCGAACCGGGGGAACUGAAACAUCUAAGUACCCCGAGGAAAAGAAAUCAACCGAGAUUCCCCCAGUAGCGGCGAGCGAACGGGGAGCAGCCCAGAGCCUGAAUCAGUGUGUGUGUUAGUGGAAGCGUCUGGAAAGGCGCGCGAUACAGGGUGACAGCCCCGUACACAAAAAUGCACAUACUGUGAGCUCGAUGAGUAGGGCGGGACACGUGGUAUCCUGUCUGAAUAUGGGGGGACCAUCCUCCAAGGCUAAAUACUCCUGACUGACCGAUAGUGAACCAGUACCGUGAGGGAAAGGCGAAAAGAACCCCGGCGAGGGGAGUGAAAAAGAACCUGAAACCGUGUACGUACAAGCAGUGGGAGCACAGAGCAAUCUGUGUGACUGCGUACCUUUUGUAUAAUGGGUCAGCGACUUAUAUUCUGUAGCAAGGUUAACCGAAUAGGGGAGCCGAAGGGAAACCGAGUCUUAACUGGGCGUUAAGUUGCAGGGUAUAGACCCGAAACCCGGUGAUCUAGCCAUGGGCAGGUUGAAGGUUGGGUAACACUAACUGGAGGACCGAACCGACUAAUGUUGAAAAAUUAGCGGAUGACUUGUGGCUGGGGGUGAAAGGCCAAUCAAACCGGGAGAUAGCUGGUUCUCCCCGAAAGCUAUUUAGGUAGCGCCUCGUGAAUUCAUCUCCGGGGGUAGAGCACUGUUUCGGCAAGGGGGUCAUCCCGACUUACCAACCCGAUGCAAACUGCGAAUACCGGAGAAUGUUAUCACGGGAGACACACGGCGGGUGCUAACGUCCGUCGUGAAGAGGGAAACAACCCAGACCGCCAGCUAAGGUCCCAAAGUCAUGGUUAAGUGGGAAACGAUGUGGGAAGGCCCAGACAGCCAGGAUGUUGGCUUAGAAGCAGCCAUCAUUUAAAGAAAGCGUAAUAGCUCACUGGUCGAGUCGGCCUGCGCGGAAGAUGUAACGGGGCUAAACCAUGCACCGAAGCUGCGGCAGCGACGCUUAUGCGUUGUUGGGUAGGGGAGCGUUCUGUAAGCCUGCGAAGGUGUGCUGUGAGGCAUGCUGGAGGUAUCAGAAGUGCGAAUGCUGACAUAAGUAACGAUAAAGCGGGUGAAAAGCCCGCUCGCCGGAAGACCAAGGGUUCCUGUCCAACGUUAAUCGGGGCAGGGUGAGUCGACCCCUAAGGCGAGGCCGAAAGGCGUAGUCGAUGGGAAACAGGUUAAUAUUCCUGUACUUGGUGUUACUGCGAAGGGGGGACGGAGAAGGCUAUGUUGGCCGGGCGACGGUUGUCCCGGUUUAAGCGUGUAGGCUGGUUUUCCAGGCAAAUCCGGAAAAUCAAGGCUGAGGCGUGAUGACGAGGCACUACGGUGCUGAAGCAACAAAUGCCCUGCUUCCAGGAAAAGCCUCUAAGCAUCAGGUAACAUCAAAUCGUACCCCAAACCGACACAGGUGGUCAGGUAGAGAAUACCAAGGCGCUUGAGAGAACUCGGGUGAAGGAACUAGGCAAAAUGGUGCCGUAACUUCGGGAGAAGGCACGCUGAUAUGUAGGUGAAGUCCCUCGCGGAUGGAGCUGAAAUCAGUCGAAGAUACCAGCUGGCUGCAACUGUUUAUUAAAAACACAGCACUGUGCAAACACGAAAGUGGACGUAUACGGUGUGACGCCUGCCCGGUGCCGGAAGGUUAAUUGAUGGGGUCAGCGCAAGCGAAGCUCUUGAUCGAAGCCCCGGUAAACGGCGGCCGUAACUAUAACGGUCCUAAGGUAGCGAAAUUCCUUGUCGGGUAAGUUCCGACCUGCACGAAUGGCGUAAUGAUGGCCAGGCUGUCUCCACCCGAGACUCAGUGAAAUUGAACUCGCUGUGAAGAUGCAGUGUACCCGCGGCAAGACGGAAAGACCCCGUGAACCUUUACUAUAGCUUGACACUGAACAUUGAGCCUUGAUGUGUAGGAUAGGUGGGAGGCUUUGAAGUGUGGACGCCAGUCUGCAUGGAGCCGACCUUGAAAUACCACCCUUUAAUGUUUGAUGUUCUAACGUUGACCCGUAAUCCGGGUUGCGGACAGUGUCUGGUGGGUAGUUUGACUGGGGCGGUCUCCUCCUAAAGAGUAACGGAGGAGCACGAAGGUUGGCUAAUCCUGGUCGGACAUCAGGAGGUUAGUGCAAUGGCAUAAGCCAGCUUGACUGCGAGCGUGACGGCGCGAGCAGGUGCGAAAGCAGGUCAUAGUGAUCCGGUGGUUCUGAAUGGAAGGGCCAUCGCUCAACGGAUAAAAGGUACUCCGGGGAUAACAGGCUGAUACCGCCCAAGAGUUCAUAUCGACGGCGGUGUUUGGCACCUCGAUGUCGGCUCAUCACAUCCUGGGGCUGAAGUAGGUCCCAAGGGUAUGGCUGUUCGCCAUUUAAAGUGGUACGCGAGCUGGGUUUAGAACGUCGUGAGACAGUUCGGUCCCUAUCUGCCGUGGGCGCUGGAGAACUGAGGGGGGCUGCUCCUAGUACGAGAGGACCGGAGUGGACGCAUCACUGGUGUUCGGGUUGUCAUGCCAAUGGCACUGCCCGGUAGCUAAAUGCGGAAGAGAUAAGUGCUGAAAGCAUCUAAGCACGAAACUUGCCCCGAGAUGAGUUCUCCCUGACCCUUUAAGGGUCCUGAAGGAACGUUGAAGACGACGACGUUGAUAGGCCGGGUGUGUAAGCGCAGCGAUGCGUUGAGCUAACCGGUACUAAUGAACCGUGAGGCUUAACCUU